CUUCAUGCGGGGCGUGGGGGGUUCGAUUUUUGGUCGAUUUUUGCCGAAAAUCGACCAAAAAUCGAACCCCCCCCCCGCCCCGCAUGAAU
rnacentral:pre_miRNA from 1 species